rnacentral:rRNA from 1 species
CACGUAGGGGGCGAGCGUUGUCCGGAUUUAUUGGGCGUAAAGAGCUCGUAGGCGGCUCGGUAAGUCGGGUGUGAAAACUCUAGGCUCAACCUAGAGACGCCACCUGAUACUGCUGUGGCUAGAGUCCGGUAGGGGAGCAUGGAAUUCCUGGUGUAGCGGUGAAAUGCGCAGAUAUCGGGAGGAACACCUGUGGCGAAGGCGGCUUUCUGGGCCUUACCUGACGCUGAGACGCGAAAGCGUGGGGAGCGAACCGG